rfam:Triticum urartu cultivar G1812 contig710409, whole genome shotgun sequence.
AUGAUACUCUCUCCGCCCGGAAAUACUUGUCGGAGAAAUGAAUGUACCUAAACGUAUUUUAGUUCUAGAUACAUCCAAUUGUAUCCAUUUUACGACAAGUAAUUCCGGACGGAGUAGUAUGUC